rnacentral:lncRNA from 1 species
CACCCGAGGGCGCGCUGGGCGGGCGGCGGCGGCAGACCACGUAGCCAGCCUGUAAGCCACAGCGGACGCAGGGGGCCGCAGCGGGUGCUCAGCCCUAGGGCCGAGCGGGAGAUGUGCGGCGAGUGCAGAAGGGCGGACCCGGGAUGUCCCGGGUUUUCGAGCGGGGAGCCGCCUGCUGAAUGCCCUUCUGCUGCCCUCCGUUCCCGCGGCUCCCCUAGGAGCCCCGCCCCGUCCAACUCUUACCCGGGCUCAUCGCCGCGGCUCAUCUCUCUCGCAACCGCCGCCGCACGCACCCGCUCCGCCGCCCCGCGCAGGGCAUCCUGUCGCCAGCGCAUCCCUCAGAGGAGUUUCAGCAUUUGGGGAUUUGAACGGCCCAUGACCAAUAUUGUGAAAGGACUUUUGUUUGCUGCAAUGAAAAGAAGACUCCUAUUUUUCAAUAAUGAAUUAACCUAAACAUGUAUUAAAAUAUGCUCAUGAAA